rnacentral:lncRNA from 12 species
GAAAAUCUUUUUGGAGAGAAAAACAAGACAGAAGAGGCAUCGUUUUUUUUCUCUUUGAGAAACAUUCAUUUUGAUAAUAGUUACCUACAAGACCUGAAAAACAGGUCAGACCCUCCAACGGACAACAGCAUUGUCUUAGCUCACUUCUG